UUUUUGCAAUGACAUCAUCUCUCUGUCCGAGCAGCCCCAAUAGCCAUGCUCGGAUGCGGUGCGUUCUGGGAAUUGUAGUCUUCUGGGGCCCAGACGGGACGCCAAGGCUAUUGCUGGAACUACAAUACCCAAGAUGCGCUGAGGUCGGACGCGCCCAGAGAGGAGGAGCAGAGAAGAUUGGCCGCCAUGUUAGGAGCGCCUGGGCGGCUUAGCGAAGCUGGUGGAUGUGUUAGAAACGCAGGAGUGGAAAAGUCGUGCGGUAGGGAUGAUGAGGUGGAGGACCCACGGACUGGAGGGUCUUCGGGAUCGACCUGAGAGCGGGGCGGAGGGCUCCUGUUGGGCAGAAUCUGUCUGCCGUGUGGAAAGAUGAGAAAUUUCAUUUCCUCUUGAAAGUAUCAAAGGGGUUAAAAGUUCUGAUGAUGCGUGCUUUUGUACUUUUUUUCUUCCCUCCCGUUUUGCACUUUAUUCUCAAAACAAAAUUAAUAGAUGUGUUUAAGUCAGUGAAAGUAUGUACUAAACCUAUUAGUUGGUAAUAAAACUUCUGAUUAGUAAGCCCUCCUAUCAAAGAACAGUAGGCAGACUGGUUAAAACUAACCAACACACAGUAGUGUCAAUCUCAAAUGUAUAGCAUGAGAUGAUUAUAGUUUUUCAGAGACUAAAUUUGUCACGUUUCUAGGAACAAGGUACAAGAUUAAUGGUUUGGUUUCAUUCCUAAGCAAUGGUAAUGAUUGAUGGUAAGUAUUGGAAAAGGAACAUAAUAUUGGCUGUUCUUUCUGACCUGAAAAAUAAUGAAUUUUAAUCAUUUUUUAAGAGUAAGCUGUCACUUCACUUUGAGUUACUGUGGAAGACCAAUUUGUGGGGGAAAAAAAGUAACAUUGCUUGGACAUCCUGUGUGGAAAACAAUAGACCUGUAUAAUACAAUGAUUUCUGUAAAUUGUCAUGUAUUUAAGUAGUUUGAAGUUUUUCUAGCCUUUAUGUGCCACAGAUAGCUAACCAAAAAUACAGGAAACAAAUAUAUUUAAUAUAUUUUGAAAGAAUCUACAACUUCUUAACUUUUUAGGAAAAAGUUAUACCCUCUUUAGAAAUGUGAUUUGCAAGUUAAUAUUUGUUGGCACUAGCUUGUGAAAGAAUAGGUUGUGCCCUAGAGAAAAAACAGUGAAUUUGGGAAAAUAUUUUAAAUGUAGAAUUAGGUAUGCCUUACAUAACGCAGACUACAUGUUUUUCAAUCACAAAAGAUGAGUCAUUGAUUUAUAACUUUAGGGCAUUGUAAUGUAAAUUUUAGGUAGUUCAUAAGAAUAUUAGGUCGAUCGUUUUGUUUUGAGACUGUAUUUCAGGCUGGCCUUGAACUCAGUAUAUAGCCCAGGGUGGACUCAAACUCCUCAUCCUACCUCAAUCUGCUGAGUGCUAGGAUUAGAGGCAUACGCUGCCAUGCCAGCCUGGGUCAGUUAAAUUUACCAAGGCAUUUUUCCAACAAAUACAUGUUGGGAUCACUUAGAAAAACUUCUACAAAUACGUAAUUGGUGUCUGUCCUUCCCAGUGAAUUGCCAAGUCAACCAACUACUGUGGAUUUUUAAAACUAGGUGAGUAUGGAGGGUUGGGUGAAAUAGUAUUUAUCUUCAUCCUCUAUUUGUAUUUUUGUUCCCUGCAUAGCAAGUAAUAGCAAGUCUUGCAAAAAUUUUAGAUUUAUUGCUUAUUUUACCCAUGAAUGAAUCCUGAAAAUCUACACAUAAGAAUUUUCCUCAUAAUCUACUUACAUAGUGGCAUUGUGGAGUAGGAACAUUUAAGGAUUUGAAGAAAGUAUCAGUGUUAACCUCAGCCAUCACAAUAUUCUGAUUUACCUGGGUGUUUCAAGGGUGAGAGUUUAUCCUAAUAUCAAGAAAGUAAGGAUGAGAGAGACCUUUUUUUUUUUUUUUUUUUUUUUUUAAACCGGUACCAGGGAUCAAACUCAUGACUACGUGCUUACAAGGCAGGUGCUUAUGCCACCGAGCUAAAUCCCCAGCCCCUGAGAGACGCUUUUCUGCUGUAGAGGUAAUUGAGCCGGUAAUGACUGACAAGUGGCAUAAAUCUCUUGUUAGUAAAAACACCUUUACCAGUUUGGGGAAGUAUAAAAAGCCACAUAUUUAUGUAAAAUCUUGCAGUUUUAACUGUGUUGGUCACCCUGUAUAUAUCACAUAAACAUGCCGAAGGGGCACUCCACAGUCCCAGCUGGUGACCUUAUACCAACUCAAGUGUCUGACUGAGGCAGUAAUUGAUGACACUGUCACCUGCAGUGUUGCACACCUGUACUUGGCCAGCACUUGGGAGAUUGAGGCAAGAGGAUCAUUUGAGUUUGAAGCUAGUCUGAGCUACAUAGGGAACUCGAGGCCAGCCUCAGCUACACAAUGAGACCCUGUCUCAAAAAAAAAAAAGCCAUCUAGAGCUCAAAGCUAUCCUAAAAUUAUGAUAGUUAUUGAGAAAUCUUAAAUUGAAGUAUCUAUGAACAGGCAGCAUUUUUAAAAUUUUUUCUGAAAAUGUCUUCAAUAGCAGCUUUUGUUGACUCAUCUUAGUUUUUUAGAUUACAGAUACCUCAGUUAAUGAGCUAAAUCUUCUCAAUGGUCAAACUGGAGAACUGGACAAGGACCAAAUCGAUUUUCCCCACAAGGUCAACAUUGAACCUAAUCUUUGAAUUUGAUGGAUUCCCAUCCAACUCUAUUUGCUACCAAAACCAUGGAGAGUUAUUAUCUUGUAUUUUUGAUAUUUGACUAAAUACAGCAGAGUAUGUUUUAAACCAAAUAGACACUGUAAGUGCUGAAAGCUCUUAUAAAUCACCUGAUCUGUGUUUUACAGAUAAGAAAAUGGAUAUUAGAAUUAAAAAUUGUUACUGAUCGGGCCCAGGUGUUUAGCUCAGCAGCAUGUGUUUUGCAAACACAAAGUCGCGAGUUCAAUCCCUGGCACCAAAAAAAGAAAAAGAAAAAAAAAUUAAUGAUCACACUGCAUAGUAGUGGCAAGUGGCAUAGCUAAACCUCAUGUAUGUUCAGUGUCUUAAUGUUACCAGUUUUUUCUCUAUUUAAACUUUAGAUUUUUAUUUCCUAAUGGUGCCCUAAGAUUUUAAUUCCCUAUACUGUGUAAUUUACAUCAGUGUAUGUUUAUUUUUAAUAUUGGAGUAUCAAGACAGUUAAACUGUAAUGCAUAUGAAACUUUCUUUAUAUUUUAGGUUUUAUUUUUUUGUGACAGGAAUCUCACUUUCCCAGCUCAGCCUGGAACACAUAGGUUCAAGUAAUCCUUACGCCUCAGCCAUUAUUGGUACUGCAGCUACAUACUGCUGUACCCAGUGACUUCACAUUCUUUGGCUUACUAAAUUUCUUUAGUCUUUACAUCAAAGUUGUCUGGCAUCCUUUUAUACAUACCUGCUGAAAAAUAAGACCCAAGAGAACAAGUAGUUGAUUUUACUACAGCAGCCUCAAGCUUUAGUUGAUGGGUCGAUCUUUUGAGGACGGAGACCCCCUUGGAGAUACUGUGAAGAGACUGAUUUUAGUGCUUUGAAAACUAUUAUCUGGAGCCUGGAUUCCAGUAGCUUGAGUUUAAAGUUUGGCUUGUUUUAUCACAAAAUUUGUAGCAUUCUAAUCCUCAGUAACAGCCCUCCAGUGGUGUUGGUGAGUAUAAAAGAUUUAGCAGAGUAUUGGAAAACGCUAAGUUUAUUGGGAGUUUUAAGUUACUGAAGAGUAGUCCCAGAGCACUUGGGACACAAAAGUCAAGGAUUAUAAUGCAAAGGUAUUCUUUCAACCUAGGUCAAAUUUGUGUGACAAAUUCACAUUAAAAUACAAUUUGAUUUCUUUAUACUGUGAAGCUACAUGGCAACAAUUAGGGGGGUGGGUACUGGGGAGUAAACAAAGGGCCUUAGCAAUAAGAUAUACCCGUAAAGACAGUCGUUAAAUUUUUCAGGCUGAAGCUGGUGAUUUAGCUCUGUGCAUAAGUGUCUGCCUAGCAGGCACAAGAUGAGUUUGAUCCCCAGUACCAAAAAAAUUUUGCCAAGCAUGGUGGUACACUCCUAUAAUAAGCACUCGGGCUGAGGCAAGAGGAUCAUUGAAAGUUUGAGACUGUCCUAGGAUAUAAAGUGAGCCCAAGGCCAGCCUGAACUGCAUGGUAAGACCCUGUCUCGAAAAGAGAAAAAAGAAUUUCCAGGCUGGGCUCAAAUGGAUCUUCCUGCCUUAACCUCUAAAGAGUGCUGGAAUUAAAAGUAUACACUACCAUGCCCAGCCGCAAGUCUUUAGCCAAGAUCACACAGGAAUGUGGCUAGGUUAUUUAUUAUGUAUAGCUUAAGCUCCACAAUUAUAAAAAUCAGGCCCUUAGUGAAAAUCACUAACCAGUUCUCUAAAAAUUAAGAAAAA